GAUGAAGAACGUAGCGAAAUGCGAUAAGUAAUGUGAAUUGCAGAAUUCAGUGGAUCAUCGAAUCUUUGAACGCACAUUGCGCCCGCCAGUAUUCUGGCGGGCAUGCCUGUUCGAGCGUCAUUUCAACCAUCAAGCCCCCGGCUUGUGUUGGGGACCUGCGGCUGCCGCAGGCCCUGAAAAGCAGUGGCGGGCUCGCUGUCACACCGAGCGUAGUAGCAUACAUCUCGCUCUGGGCGUGCUGCGGGUUCCGGCCGUUAAACCACCUUCAUAACCCAAGGUUGACCUCGGAUCAGGUAGGAAGACCCGCUGAACUUAAGCAUAUCAAUAAGCGGAGGA
rnacentral:misc_RNA from 1 species